GGAAACAAGCAAAAUCCAGCGCAAGGACUCAUGCUGAGGACUCCAUGUAAAACUUCCAAGGAUCAGAAGACACAGAAGACUUUCGCUUUGCAUUUCUCAUAUAUAACAUAUAUAUGUAUAUGUAUAAUUACCACCGCAACGCGGCGGGAAACCGAUCUUUUUGGGGAAAUCGCUCCCUCCAAAAGAUCCCUCCCUUCAUCCCUUCCCAUCAUCAUCACUCUCCUCCUUAAAACCCUAACCCCCCCAACCAAACCCCUCUCUUCUUCUUCUUCCUCUUCUUCGCAUCAUCGUGGUCGGACCAGUGAGGAAGAUAGAUACUCCCCAAAUCCCACAAUGAAGCUUCAUUGAAGAAGAAUUGCGUGGAUUCCUGCCCUCAUCCUUCACUGUUUCAUGGCUUUCCCCGCGAAAACCCUGCCAGAGUCUGCCGCUGCUGCUCCAUCCGGUGAAGAAGAAGAAGUAGACGACACCAACGUCGACGUCCUCACCUCCGGCUCCAUCCGCUACCUCUCCCUCGACGACGUCUACUCCGCCACCUCCCCCGCCAGCGGCUCCUCCGCCCUCAUGUCCAAGAAGGUCAAGGCCCGGAAGCUUGAGAGCUGCCCUGACGAUCCCAGGAGCUGCAGGAGCGGUUGCAUUGCCGAGGAGAGGAGCCAGAGCCAGAGCCAGAGGAGGAGGGCUAGGGAUAAUUCUCCCCUGCUCCACGUCUACUCUCGGCGGAGUAAGAGGCCGCGCCCCGAUGAUGCGAUGCAGAGUCAGUCCUUCUAUGAUUUGCUGGUUUCUCGCGCGGAAUUGGCUGCCGCUAGGCCUGUAAAGGCUGAACAUUGCGAGGAUGACUGCGAGAGAGAUGGGGGUCGCAUUUCUGGGGGCUCCGACACUGGGGAGUUGGUGAAGAAGAAGAAGAAGAGGAAGUCUUUUAGUGGAGAGCUCUUGAAAUUGGGGGUCGAUUCAAGCGUCUUGCUCUGUCUUGAUGGGCCGAGGUUGAGAGAGAACCGGAAUCAUAAUUUGAGUAACUCUGGGAAUCACAAACCCGUAAAGAGGAAGAAUUCUGCAGAUAUGCAGAACGUUGAUGAAGGCAUACGGAACAAGAAGAGAUGGGUCAGGUUGAGUUUCGAGGAUGUGGAUGCAAAAGUCUUCGUUGGUUUGCAGUGUAAAGUAUUUUGGCCAUUAGAUGCUGAUUGGUACACUGGCCGCAUUGUGGGGUACGAUCUCGAGACUAACAAGCAUCAUGUUGAAUAUGAGGAUGGAGAUAAAGAAGAUCUAACUCUUUCCUGCGAGAAGAUCAAGUUUUUUAUAUCUCCCGAAGAAAUGCAGCAUCUGAACCUGAAAUAUGGCACUAAAAAUGCAGAUACAGAUUCUCUUAGUUACGAUGAAAUGGUUGUGCUGGCUGCUGGUUGGGAUGACUCCCAAGAGCUUGAUCCCGGGGAUAUUGUGUGGGCUAAGCUCACUGGUCAUGCAAUGUGGCCUGGGAUCAUUGUGGAUGACUCCCACAUGAUAAAUCGUGGUGUUUCAAAUAAAAUUUCUACAGGAAGAUCAGUUUCCGUGCAAUUUUUUGGCACUCAUGAUUUUGCAAGGAUAAAGACGAAGCAGGUUAUCUCAUUUUUAAGUGGACUUACUAAUGGUUUCCACUUAAAAUGCAAAAAGCCUCUUUUCAUCCGAGGCCUUGAAGAAGCCAAAAUAUAUCUUAGUGAACAAAGACUUCCAAGAAGAAUGCUUAGGCUGCAAAAUGUUCCUAAUAGUGAUAAUGGUGGGAGUUUAAGUGAUGGAGAGGGAGAGUGUGGAGAAUCAGCUGGAGAUCUCAUGAAGGGUGAACAAAGUGAGAGACUGCUAGGAGGCCUUGAAGCUCCUCCAUAUGUCAUCGGGGAUCUGCAUAUAAUGAGCCUUGGAAGGAUCGUAAAGGAUUCGCCAUAUUUUCAGGAUGGAAAAGUCAUCUGGCCAAAGGGAUACACGGCAGUAAGGAAGUUUACUUCAAUUACUGAUCCAAGCAGUUGUGCCCCAUAUAAGAUGGAAGUGUUGGCAGAUGCAAAAUCAAGGAACCGGCCUCUUUUCAGAGUCACUUCAGACAAUGGGGAGCAGUUCGAAGGGUCUACACCAUCAGCCUGCUGGGAUAAAAUCUACAGUAGAUUAAAGACAUGUACCAGUUUGGCCGACGGUACUGGUCCUGAAUGCAGUACUGAAAGAAUACUCAAAAGUAGUUCUGAUAUGUUUGGUUUCUCCAAUCCAGAGGUCAUUAAACUUAUACAGGCUUUGUCAAAAUCUGGACAUCAGUCAAAAUUCUCCAAAUGCAAAGUUCACUCCAGACAGGAUCUUCCAAUUGGAUAUCGCCCUGUUCGUGUGGACUGGAAAGACCUCGAUAAGUGUAGUGUCUGCCAUAUGGACGAGGAAUAUUCAAAUAAUUUGUUCCUUCAGUGUGAUAAAUGCAGAAUGAUGGUUCAUGCUAGAUGCUAUGGGGAACUACAGCCUGUCGGUGGCGUGCUAUGGUUUUGCAACUUAUGUCGUCCAGGGGCUCCUAGCCCUGCCCCAAGAUGUUGCCUUUGCCCUGUUGUUGGUGGUGCAAUGAAGCCAACAACUGAUGGAUGCUGGGCUCAUUUGGCCUGUGCCAUGUGGAUUCCUGAAACUUGCUUGUCUGACGUGAAGAGAAUGGAGCCAAUUGAUGGAAUCAGUGGAAUCCAUAAGGAUCGAUGGAAGCUGCUCUGUAGCAUAUGUGGUGUGUCAUAUGGUGCUUGUAUACAAUGUUCAAACAAUAACUGUCGUGUAGCAUAUCAUCCCUUGUGUGCCCGAGCAGCUGGCCUUUGCGUUGAGCUUGAAGAUGAGGACAGACUGCAUCUUCUUUCUUAUGAUGACGAUGAGGAGAAUCAGUGCAUUCGCCUUUUAUCCUUCUGCAAGAGGCACAAGCAACCCUCUAAUGAGCGAUCACACUCUGAAGUUGCCCGUAUUGGACAAGUAGUGAGUCGAUGCUGUGAUUACAACCCUCCUACUAAUCCAUCUGGUUGUGCUCGCACUGAACCUUACAACUAUUUUGGAAGAAGAGGACGAAAAGAACCGGCUGCCUUGGCCGCUGCAUCAUUGAAGCGCCUGUUUGUAGAGAAUCAGCCUUACCUUGUCAGUGGAUACUGUCAACAUGAAUUGUUGGGCAAAACUAUGACUUCCAAUGAGGUUACUGUUUCAAAGUACUCUUUUAAUCUCCAAAGACUUAUGCCCCAGCAGCUUGAUGCUUCUGAUAGCAUAAGUUCUAUGGCCGAGAAGUACAGAUUCAUGAGAGAGACCUUCAGAAAGAGAUUGGCAUUUGGGAAAUCUGGCAUACAUGGCUUUGGUAUCUUUGCAAAGCUACCACAUCGAGCAGGGGACAUGGUCAUUGAGUACACAGGUGAACUUGUUAGACCCUCUAUAGCUGACAGGAGGGAGCACUUCAUAUACAAUUCAUUAGUGGGCGCUGGGACUUAUAUGUUUCGAAUUGAUGAAGAACGAGUUAUUGAUGCCACGAGAGCAGGCAGCAUAGCUCAUCUAAUUAAUCAUUCAUGCGAACCAAAUUGCUACUCGAGAGUCAUUAGUGUUAACGGCGAUGAGCAUAUAAUUAUCUUUGCCAAAAGGGACAUCAAGAGAUGGGAAGAGCUAACCUAUGAUUACAGGUUUUUCUCUAUCGAUGAACGACUGGCAUGUUACUGUGGCUUCUCGGGAUGCAGGGGUGUAGUUAAUGACACUGAAUCAGAGGAGCAAUCCGCUAAGCUCCGUGUGCCUCGUAGUGAGUUGACCGACUGGAAUGGGGAAUGAAUUAGAUUUUUAGGUUUCUUAAAGACAUAUGCUGAAUAUGUUGAAGUGUGCACAAUUCCUGCUCGACUUCAUAGAGAAAUUGACAAGAGAUUAAUCUGUUCAAAGUUUGUGUAUUUGCUUUACCAGGUCCAUUUGGCCUAUUUUCUCAAACAAAUAUGGAGAUAUAGAUGCCGCAAGUCGGCAUUACGAUGUAGGUGCAAUCUGCACGGUAGCCUCUUGCUUCCCUCAUCAUGGUCCAUUACACUGUAAAAGUGAUCAACUCGACGAGCUGUUCCACUUUGUUCGUCAAUAGUCCUAAUUCUUUUCUCAGUAAAUUUGAAGUUCCUCCACUGUCAAACUUCUGGCACCUAAGAUCUUCUGCGGAGACAGAUCACUGCACUCCUACAGUUCCCUCAUUUUUUGCCUUUGUUCUGAUCUGUUCUCUCCGGUGAUCAGCUACUCUAGCAUGUCCCUACCAUUGCAAGGUGCAAUCCUCCAGCGGUUCAGCUUCUUUCUCUUUGCAUGCGCGAUCUCUUCCGGUCAAGCAGAAUUAUUUGGAUUCUUACUCCGUCGAUUAACUGAAAAAACUCCUUAAACCACAAAACUGGGACUGUAAGAGGUUUGUCAUAUAAUAAUUCAUGAUCUCAGAUGUAACUUGCUGCUACUUACAUACGUAGACCACAUUUUGAUUGUUUGUAGAUUCCCCCCCAGCAAAGAAAUGUAUAUACGAUGUAUCUACUAAUUGAAGAGUAAAAAUUCUGGUCAGUGUUCGAGCUUUUUUCUGUGUCAAAAAUACACUGGAGUAUACUUGAUACAGAUAUCGGAGGGGUUUAUUUUUUGAACAA